CUUCCCUCUGGCGAGUAGUUCUAAAAUUAUGGACGGCGGCAGAUAGUCUUAAUAGGUUUGUCAUAAACACAAAUACCAAAAUAAUUGAUGUU